rnacentral:lncRNA from 1 species
GUAGAACCAUUAUUUGGGGGGCUUGGCUUCCGGAAAACUCAAACCACGUCACAUUAGAAAAGGUCAGGAGGCAUUUCCACAGGGAUGCAGACCUGACAUUUUUUCUCAUGUUCUCAACCUUUCAUCUGGAGCAGAGACCACCCCCUCCCUGCUGACCCAAUGCAUCCACCAGAGGCAUCCCUGGCCACCUAGUUCCCUGGACCAAGAUGAGGCCUUGCUAUGUCCCAGGCCCUGCUGGGAUCCCCCUACACCUCCUGAUGCUGCUGAUAGCCACAAAGGGAAGCAGAGAAGUGAACCCCAGUGGCCACCACACUGCAAGCAUCAGGAAACAUUUACUGCCUAGAAGGAUGACCUCUGGUGAUUCAGUUUCUCCACUGGAAAAAGUCCUCCAUGCCCCUCUCUCCAUUCUCUAUACAGUGUGAGUAUAGCCUCAGUUGCAUUAUAUAAUGGCUGCUAGUGUUCUGGACCUAGGUGAGUAUGGUGCACUAAAGAAGGUCAUUGAGUUUUUUUUUCCAUUUUUCUCUCAGAAAGUGAUAUUUUUUCCCCUUAAAUCUGAAUUGGCUUUGUGACUACUUUAACCGUAAAAUAUAGUGGAAAUGAUGCUGUGACAAUUCUAAGGUUAGCCUUCAGAAGGCUUGGAUGUGUCCACUUUUGUACUCUUAGGAGCCCUGAGAUACCAUGUAAUAAGGCUAGCUAUCUUGCUGGGGAGGCCGUGAAGAAAGGCCACAAUCAGAGGACAAGCAUAGAGAAGGCGGCCCUGAAACACGGGUAAAGAGAGGCCCCAACAUCCCAGCAGCCCAGCUUAUCCCAGCCUUCUAGCGUGAACAACCAAGGCACCAGAUAGGUGAGUUAGCCAUUUUGGAUGUUGCAG